rnacentral:miRNA from 1 species
GAUUUCAGUGAAGUGAAGUGUA